AGACAAUAAAACACAGGACAAAAUAUGUUAGAAAAAAAAAGAAGUUAUUUUUAUGAUACAAAGUUGAGUGAAUUUACAUGGGAGGGGAAAACAUUUCUAAAUAUUAACACAAGGCGCAUUAAUAAUGGUAUAACAAAUGGACAGACAAAAGAACCUUGCUUCUUACUGCACGGUUUGGCACUUGUUUUAUAACGUGUAUUGUGAUUGGAUCAGGCCGUGGUCAAAGAGGAAAUAAAUGCAAAAACCUGUAAAUAAAACAUUCUAUUCUUUAUGAACACAUUAAAUACAGUACGGCUGAAAACGUGCUGAAAUUUAUCCCAGGCUUUCUCAUAGGAAAUAGAUGUCUUUCUUUUAAUACCUCUAGUUGUGUGCUAAGGUUACACUAAUUAAGAUGUCAGGGUUAUUCAGUAAAGUGGGAAUUCAAAGUGAAUGUCAAAUUUAAGAUAAAAAUAGCUGAAUUGGAAACAUUUUCUAUGUCAGCUAUGCUUCUAAUUCAGCUACUUUGGCCUUAAAUUUUGAAAUUCACUUCAAAUCCUCACUUAUGGGAAUACUUCUGUGUGUGUUUAGAUUGUUAAAACAGCAUGUUAUCUCUAAGACUCACCCUCUCCAUCACAUAAAAAAAAAAAAAAAAAAAUUAAAAAAUAAUAUUUGUUAAUAUCCAUUUAAACAAGUUAAUUAAUAGGUAGUGAUGUCCCGAACAGUUCGCCACGAACUGUUCGCCGCGGACUCAUCAUUGAGUAAACUUUGACCCUGUACAUCACAGUCAGCAGACACAUUCCAGCCAAUCAGCAGAAGACCCUCCCUCCCAGACCCUCCCACCUCCCGGACAGCUCACUAAGAAUGCAGCUUCACAAUGAAUGUAAAAUGGAUGCUGUCCAGGAGGUGGGAGGG